rnacentral:rRNA from 1 species
ACGGCUCAGACUCCUACGGGAGGCAGCAGUAGGGAAUUUUGCGCAAUGGACGAAAGUCUGACGCAGCAACGCCGCGUGAGCGAUGAAGGUCUUCGGAUCGUAAAGCUCUGUUGAGUGGGAAGAAACGUCUCGGGGUUAAUAUCUCCGAGGCCUGACGGUACCACUCGAGGAAGCUCCGGCCAACUACGUGCCAGCAGCCGCGGUAAUACGUAGGGAGCGAGCGUUGUUCGGAAUCACUGGGCGUAAAGGGAGUGCUGGCGGACCGGUAAGUCAGAAGUGUAAUCUACGGGCUUAACCCGUAUCUCGCUUCUGAUACUGCUUUUCUUGAGUAGUGGAGAGGGAAACGGAAUUCCAGGUGUAGCGGUGGAAUGCGUAGAUAUCUGGAAGAACACCAGUAGCGAAGGCGGUUUCCUGGCCACAUACUGACGCUGAGGCUCGAAAGCGUGGGGAUCAAACAGGAUUAGAUACCCUGGUAGUCCACGCCGUAAGCGAUGGGCACUAGAUAUCGGGGAAUUCGAUUUCUUCGGUGUCGCAGUUAACGCGAUAAGUGCCCCGCCUGGGGAGUACGCCCGCAAGGCUGAAACUCAAAGGAAUUGACGGGGGCCCGCACAAGCCGGUGGAGCAUGCGCUUUAAUUCGAUGCAACGCGAAGAACCUUACCUGGGUUUGACAUGGGAGUGAAAGUUCCUAGAGAUAGGAACCUUUCCUUCGGGAACACUCCACACAGGUGCUGCAUGGUUGUCGUCAGCUCGUGUCGUGAGAUGUUGGGUUAAGUCCCGCAACGAGCGCAACCCUCGCCCUUAGUGGCCAUCAGGUAAUACUGGGAACUCUAGGGGGACCGCCUGGUACAACCAGGAGGAAGGUGGGGAUGAUGUCAAAUCAUCAUGGCUCUUACGUCCAGGGCUAGACGCGUGCUACAAUGGUCGGUACAGAAGGAUGCCAAGUCGUGAGACCGAGCUAAUCCAUGAAAACCGGCCUCAGUUCGGAUUGGAGUCUGCAAUUCGACUCCAUGAAGGUGGAAUCGCUAGUAAUCGCGGAUCAGCAUGCCGCGGUGAAUAUGUUCCCGGGCCUUGUACACACCGCCCGUCAAGCCACGAAAGAUGGGAGUACCCGAAGUCGCUUGCCCAACCUGCAAGG